rnacentral:rRNA from 1 species
AUUGAACGCUGGUGGCAUGCUUUACACAUGCAAGUCGAACGGCAGCGCGGGCUUCGGCCUGGCGGCGAGUGGCGAACGGGUGAGUAAUGCAUCGGAACGUGCCCAGUAGUGGGGGAUAGCCCGGCGAAAGCCGGAUUAAUCCCGCAUACGACCUGAGGGUGAAAGCGGGGGACCGAAAGGCCUCGCGCUAUUGGAGCGGCCGAUGUCGGAUUAGCUAGUUGGUGGGGUAAAGGCUUACCAAGGCGACGAUCCGUAGCUGGUCUGAGAGGACGACCAGCCACACUGGGACUGAGACACGGCCCAGACUCCUACGGGAGGCAGCAGUGGGGAAUUUUGGACAAUGGGGGCAACCCUGAUCCAGCCAUGCCGCGUGCGGGAAGAAGGCCUUCGGGUUGUAAACCGCUUUUGUUCGGGAAGAAAUCCUCUGGGCUAAUACCCCGGGGGGAUGACGGUACCGGAAGAAUAAGCACCGGCUAACUACGUG